rnacentral:rRNA from 1 species
GGAGUUUGGGCCGUGUCUCAGUCCCAAUGUGGCCGUUCACCCUCUCAGGCCGGCUACAGAUCGUCGCUUUGGUGGGCCGUUACCCCGCCAACUGGCUAAUCUGACGCGGGUCCAUCUCUAUCCACCGGAGUUUUUCACACUGUACGAUGCCGUACUGUGCGCUUAUGCGGUAUUAGCAGUCAUUUCUAACUGUUAUCCCCCUGAUAGAGGCAGGUUACCCACGCGUUACUCACCCGUCCGCCGCUCAGUCAUCCCUUGUUUCAAUCCGAAGAAAUCAACUCGGGCGCUUCGCUCGACUUGCAUGUGUUAAGCACGCCGCCAGCGUUCAUC